rnacentral:lncRNA from 1 species
CUCACAAAGCCGUAGUAAAAGAAGGCUCUGUCUGACUUGCCUUCAUUAGGAACGAGAUGAGGGGAACGUGAUCGCUCGUUAGAUAUCUUGGAUGUGACAACCUGAGAUGCUUUCCAGCCUGAAGGCAUGGAUACAGUGACAUCACGGGCUACUACUGGCCUACAUAUCUACUGAAGACAUCAUCAGACACAGAUCCUGACCUCAUCUGGCUGAUAUUGAGAGAUACAUGCCUACAGAGGAGUGUGAGGAGCCUGUGGAGACGAGGAGGCAGUGUUGGAAGGCACCGCAGCUGCUGAGGUGUUGACUCACUGCCUGAAGGACUGUCCGAGAAGGUUGCAUGGAAGGUCUUGGGAUGUCUUUGUUCCACCAUUAUCAAUGCCUUUUGUACCUUUUAUGUGUUAUUUUAUUGUGAGAGCUCUGGCCAUCCUAUCUUUCUAGGGCAGUGAAAUCUCACCCUGGAGUCCUAUUCAAGAUUGAUAAGAUGAUAAGAGAUGAUUAAACAGAAAAUAAUUUUGAACACC